UACGAAGGGGGCUAGCGUUGUUCGGAAUUACUGGGCGUAAAGCGCACGUAGGCGGCUUGUCGCGUCGGAUGUGAAAGCCCGGGGCUUAACUCCGGGUCUGCAUUCGAUACGGGCAGGCUAGAGUUCGGUAGGGGAGAUCGGAAUUCCUGGUGUAGCGGUGAAAUGCGCAGAUAUCAGGAGGAACACCGGUGGCGAAGGCGGAUCUCUGGGCCGAUACUGACGCUGAGGAGCGAAAGCGUGGGGAGCGAACAGG
rnacentral:rRNA from 1 species